GGUAAUUCUAAGCUGUCGGUCAUGAGUGAGUUAACAACACAAUACACUCCUUAUCUUCCUUAAAUCACUCUGCUUCAUCUUUCAUCUUAUAAAUAUCAAACAAAAUCAAGAUUCUCAAACCCAAGAUCUUUCGGAUGCUCCUUUUUGCCAAAUUAGAAAUGGCCUUCUACCACUAAUUUGCUGAAGCAACUUUCUUUUCUUAUAUACCCAAUCUUAUAAAGGGACAGGAAAGAUCCAAUAUUAUGGCUGGGGAAAGUUACUCCCAUUCUGGUGGGAGAAAAUCAUCUGAUUUCUGUUCAAAACUCACUGUUGUGACUUUUCUCGGAAUUUCUUGCAUUGGGAUAUGGAUGUUGAUAUCAUCAUCAUUCAGUAUAACUCUUCAAAAUUCAGAGAUAUCUUCCACGAAUAUUUUGGGGCAGUAUUCAGGCAGUUCUGCUGAUUUUCUAGUCAAUGCAAAGAGAGGAGAAGAUGAAACAUUCCAGGGAGAGAAACGGUUCAGAAGGGGAAGGUAUUUGGAGGAGAUUGGAGAUGAAAAGGGGCUGGAUAGUUACCAAAAUGAGGAAAGGGAAGGAGAAAGCUCUAAUUUAAGAAAUGAAGAAGAAAAUCAAGAAAAUUCUGAAUCCAGUCCAUCCGGUGAUGAAUCUCAGUCUGGCGAUGAGAGUUCAAAUCGAGAGAGUGAGGAAGUAGAUUCGAGAGAGAAAGACUCAACUUCAGGCGAUGGUGAGUCAGAUACUGGAGGUGAAGACUCAAAUUUAGAUGCUUCUGAGACAACAGAGAAAGCAAAGAAAGGAGAGACGGAGAAUGAAGUUUUUCCAGCUGCUGAUCAAUCAGAGAUUUUGAAGGAAGCUACAACACAAAAUGGGCCAUGGUCAACUCAGGCUGCUGAGUCUGAAAAGGAGAAUGAGUCACAGGGUUCUUCAUCAUCAACGGAUGACAAGAAAGGCGAUAAGUGGAAGCUAUGCAAAACUGAUGCUGGACCAGAUUAUAUUCCCUGUCUAGAUAAUGUGCAAGCUAUAAGGAAGCUCCAACACACUAGCCACUAUGAGCAUCGUGAAAGGCAUUGCCCUGUUGAAGCUUCAACUUGCCUGGUUCCUCUGCCUUCAGGAUACAAGAAGUCAAUUGGAUGGCCUAGGAGCAGGGAUCAGAUAUGGUACUCUAAUGUUCCUCAUGGAAAGCUAGCCGAGGUCAAGGGGCACCAGAACUGGGUCAAAGUAACUGGAGAGUACCUUACUUUCCCCGGUGGAGGUACUCAGUUUAAGCAAGGUGCUCUUCAUUACAUUGAUUUCCUCCAAAAGACCCUGCCUCAAAUUUCAUGGGGCAAACAAACACGUGUUAUUUUGGAUGUUGGUUGUGGAGUGGCCAGCUUUGGAGGAUAUCUCUUUGAAAGAGAUGUACUAGCAAUGUCACUUGCCCCCAAGGAUGAGCACGAAGCCCAAGUGCAAUUUGCACUUGAAAGGGGUAUUCCUGCUAUAUCAGCUGUUAUGGGAACUAAAAGACUACCUUUCCCUGGCAAAGUGUUUGAUGCUGUCCAUUGUGCACGGUGUAGAGUUCCAUGGCAUAUUGAAGGUGGCAAACUUCUCCUAGAAUUGAAUCGUGUCUUGCGGCCUGGUGGUCACUUCAUUUGGUCUGCAACACCAGUAUAUCGGAAGGAUGAGGAAAAUGUUGGAAUUUGGGAAGCUAUGUCUGAACUAACUAAGUCAAUGUGCUGGGAACUAUUGGAAAUUAAUGAAGAUAAACUAAAUGAAGUAGGUGUAGCUAUAUUCAGAAAGCCAACUACAAAUGAUUGCUACCAGAGUAGAACACAAAAUGACCCACCUAUGUGUGAAGAAGCUGAUGAUCCAGAUGCUGCCUGGAAUAUAACACUUCAGGCAUGUUUGCACAAAGCUCCAGCAGAUGCAUCUGCACGAGGAGCAAAGUGGCCAGCAAAAUGGCCUUUGAGGUCGGAGAAGCUUCCUUAUUGGUUGAAAAGUUCUCAAGUUGGAGUUUAUGGAAAAGCAGCCCCAGAAGACUUCGCUGCAGACUAUGAUCAUUGGAAAAAUGUUGUGUCAAAAUCAUAUUUAAAUGAUCUUGGCAUUAAUUGGUCUUCAGUAAGGAAUGUCAUGGACAUGAAAGCUAUUUAUGGAGGAUUUGCUGCAGCACUGAAAGACUUGAAAGUCUGGGUUAUGAAUGUAGUUCCGAUUGACUCACCUGACACACUUCCAAUUAUAUAUGACCGUGGCUUGUUUGGCAUUUACCACGACUGGUGUGAGUCCUUCAGCACAUACCCAAGAUCCUAUGAUCUUCUUCAUGCAGAUCAU
rnacentral:misc_RNA from 1 species